rnacentral:tmRNA from 1 species
ACACUUUCCAUUCAGAAUCCAGCGCCUAUAUAGGGCAUGCCGGUUUCGACCGGAUAUGGCGAUAAAUUGUUCUGUGCAAUAGGCGCAGCGGACCCGGGGGCAGUACCCGGCGGCUCCACCAAAACCCGCGGGAAACCGCGGUUCCUGAUGGGGCCGAACCAGGAUCGACGUGUGUUGAAAGACAGCGCUUUCGCCCGGGCUGAGUAACCCGUUCAAGGCUCAAAACUCAUAAGUGCCAACGAUAACGAAGCACUUGCUCUUGCAGCGUAAUUGAGGCCCUCACGGGCUAAGAUUACACUAAUAGAACGCGGCCGGGUCGGCCGGGCAACAGAAAGACUACAGCGGUUCGGGGGGCACCGGGCAACAGAAGCUCCCCACU